UGAAUUCUUACUAUUUGAAAAACCCUUACUAAGGGAAAAAAUAAGAGAACGUUUAUGACUCCAGAGGACAGAGUUUCCUUUGAAUACCACACGUGGUAAGGAUUGCAACGCUCUCAAGUUCGGAGUGCAACAGAUCAUAAAUUAGUCCUUCUCUGGAGACUCUUCCAAACACGUCAUAAACCUUGUCAAGUGAUUUUUGAAGAUGAACAGAAGAGCUGUGUUUUAAUUUUCCAACAGAUGUUACAUUAUUGGUAGACGAUAACGGUGACACAAAACGUUAGGUUCAUCCCUUCGGGUCUAUAAAUUUUGUUUCCAUCCCCUACGGUACCAUGGGAACGCCUUUUUCCUCAACUGUAGCACAUUUGCUCGGGGGCUGAGGGAAACCAUGGAAGACUUCAACUGUAAUGUCGGCCAAUUGUGCAGCAUCCUAGUGUACUAUUUUGGGUACUUUGGGUACUUUUACCCUCAUACCUUGCGUUCAGCAUUUUUUUAACAUUUUUUUUGAGGGUUCGGUGUUCCCAAGUGGUCAUCCAUCCAAGUACUAACCAUGUUUAUUUAGCCAAAGGGAACAAUAAUAAUGUUGAUCAGAGGAUGGAUAUCUACGCGACUUAUAAGCUAUGGUACAAACAUGAGGAAAACAUAGUUGAAGUGGAAAAUAAUGAGUCUUGGACAUUUGGUGUCAGUAAUUUUUCGGGACCAGAAAUUGGCCAGUAAAACUGAUCCAGAGGCCUUACUCACCCAGCCAUUACUGUCAGUCACCGACAUAUUAUAUUUUUCUCAUGAAAAAUUGGCGAAUUGCGGCGAGAAUCUCAUGAAGAAUUUCAAGUGUCUCGUAACUUCUCCCUGAAGCCAUUCAUAAUCAGGAUAAUCUCACAAUCAACUUGUUACGUUUUGUUCCUUACCUAAUGCCGUCAUCUUUGAUUUAAUAUUUCGAACAGUUUCACUUUCUAUGAAAUUAUCAUGGUAAUUAUAAUAAUUCAAUGAGGCAAUGGUGGGAGACAUUUUUUGUGGACAAUUUCGUCAGAUGUAAGAACGGUCUCAUGAAAUUUUCCCUUCAGCAUUUUUCGUCACAAAAAUUCUACACGUGAUCCUCGAGUGAGACAAUUAGAAUGUCUAGAAUGCAUGUCUCAAUGCCUUAAUCUAAGGCACUAAAAAUGAUUUAAAUUUGUCAACACAAAACUUCACUUUCUUUAUUAAGUCCGGGAAUAUUUGCAGGCUCAUUCGGCUGUUAAAUUAAUUGAUGGGGGAUGUUAGGUUAUUAUUACAUUCAAUACAAUCUUGUUGGAAACUAGAAUGAAUGAAUCAUUUCAGGAGAACGAAAGGGGAGUGCCUUCACAGGAGAGAUGAAGAUAUACGGAGAGAAAACUCCCAGAAAAAUUACUGUCGGACACUAGAAUCGAGGUGUAAAAUGCUAGAAUACUGCAAUGUGUUUUAUUUGCACAUAAAAAUUCUUAUCAAUACCAUAAAUUUUGUAGUACAUUUUGUAAUUAAGGAUAUAUGGUUUCGUAAAAUUUACGAAACAGCAUUACUAAAUUUAAAGGUCUAUCAUUUUUAUGUGAAUUUAAAUGAAAAAUAGAUAGAAAUUGUUGAAAAAUUCCUAUCUAGAUCAGUUUAUUUUACUGUACCGCACAGCAAUUUGUCGUUAACUCAUUGGGAUUGGGUAACGAUGAGCGCCGAAUACAUCCGAUUAUUGCCGAAGUUGAGCUCCGCCGUGGGACCUGAAUCAGCCAUUCAGCGUCCAUCUUCUCAUCGUCUUCACAUUCGACCUUGAAUUUUCACGAGGCCAAUAUAGAAAUUGUCCCCAGCCGGUAGAGAAAUUUUACUCUUCUGCAGUUUGCGCCGAGAUUACAAGACAGCGCAGUAACUUUUACCCGAAUCACUGUACAAAUUAAUAGAUUUUUCUCUCCGUAGAGAUCGCUUCGUCUCCUGAGUAAUUUGUAACUUGAUUAAUCCAGACUCCACAGAUUUAUCUGUUGCGUAGUUGGGACAGCGUCAAAGAAUGUGAUCGAGGUCCGCUCAGCUACAAAAUUCCAGGCUCUAGUUUUUACACUGGCCUUCAUUCAAUUAUUUUCCAAGCGUCAACAAGAAGAAAGAUCUGUUCCUAUCUGGCCUAAACUCAU